rnacentral:rRNA from 1 species
AGCGUAGGCGGAGGAAUAAGUUAGAAGUUUAAUGUACGGGCUUAACCCGUAAUCUGCUUCUAAUACUGUUUUUCUUGAGUAUGGGAGGAGGGAGGAUGGAAUUCCAGGUGUAGCGGUGGAAUGCGUAGAUAUCUGGAAGAACACCAGCUGCGAAGGCGGUCUCCUGGCCCAAUACUGACGCUGAGGCUCGAAAGCUAGGGGAGGCAAACAGGAUUAGAUACCCUGGUAGUCCUAGCUGUAAACGAUGGACACUAGAUGCUGGAGGAGUCAAUCCUUUCGGUGUCGUAGCUAACGCGUUAAGUGUCCCGCCUGGGGAGUACGCUCGCAAGGGUGAA